UACCAGCACCCCGAGUGGUCGGGACGAUUAUUGGGCCUAAAGCAUCCGUAGCCGGUCCUGCAAGUCUUCCGUUAAAUCCAGCUGCUCAACAGAUGGGCUGCGGGAGAUACUACAGGGCUAGGAGGCGGGAGAGGCAAGCGGUACUUUAUGGGUAGGGGUAAAAUCCGCUGAUCCAUAGAAGACCACCAGUGGCGAAGGCGGCUUGCCAGAACGCGCUCGACGGUGAGGGAUGAAAGCUGGGGGAGCAAACCG
rnacentral:rRNA from 1 species